rnacentral:rRNA from 1 species
AGUGAACGCUGGCGGUAGGCCUAACACAUGCCAGUCGAACGGCAGCACAGUAAGAGCUUGCUCUUACGGGUGGCGAGUGGCGGACGGGUGAGGAAUACAUCGGAAUCUACUUUUUCGUGGGGGAUAACGUAGGGAAACUUACGCUAAUACCGCAUACGACCUACGGGUGAAAGCAGGGGAUCUUCGGACCUUGCGCGAUUGAAUGAGCCGAUGUCGGAUUAGCUAGUUGGCGGGGUAAAGGCCCACCAAGGCGACGAUCCGUAGCUGGUCUGAGAGGAUGAUCAGCCAAAAUGGAAAUGAGACACGGUCCCGACGCCUAAGGGAGGGCGGAGGGGGGAAUAUUUGGACAUUGGCGGAAGCCUGAUCCAGCCAUACCGGGGUGGUGAAGAAGGCCUUUGGGUUGGAAAGCCCUUUUUUUGGGAAAGAAAAGCAGCAGGUUAAUACCCCGCUGUUCUGACGGUACCCAAAGAAUAAGCACCGGCUAACUUCGUG